CCUGCGGUGCUGCCGCUGCCUCUGGUCGACGCGCAGCCCGCGGACCAGCUGCCCGCCAAGCGCAGGACCGCCGCCGCGGCCAGGCGGAAGAAACAUCGUGGAGGAGCAUGCAGAGGUGAUGGAGGUGAUCCUGAGGCUGCACCAAGUGGAGUGCGACCGUGGUUAUGGCGUGUGUUACGUGCUUCUUUGCCCUUCCAUGUCACCAUCGUGCUACUCUUCUGUGUUGCAUACCUCCUGGAGCCACGCUGCUGUGACAGUAUGAACACCAUGCAGAUGUCUUUCACACCACAGCUGCGUUACGUUCGUGGUCCUCCACCAAUCUAAGCUGCCACUAGUGAAAGUGAACUGUUGCAUGUAGGCCAGUUCAGCUCACUUAACUGACGCACACAGUGUGCCUACUGAUUACCUAUCUGUGUGGUGUGACAGUGAGGUUUUUCUUAUUGACUUUGUUUUAUUGCCUGCCUUGUUGCAGAGACACAGUUUUUAUCUUGUCAGUUUUUUGUUCUUAGUGAAAAGAAAAUGACUAUUAGAGGUUGUGUGUGUUGUACUGUGGCCUUUUUAAAUUCCUUAAACUUGUGAAACUGUGAAAGCACUUUAAGAAGAACAUCUGGAUCUACAGUCAUGACAUGAGAUGCCGAUUACUGAGCAAUGAUUAGGAUUUGAUGUUCAUUUAUAAAUGGAAUUACACAUGUAAUUCUCAAGACUUUCUUCUUGGUGUAAUGUCCAUUGACCAUCAGUUAAGGAUACUGGUGAUCUUCUAACUGAAUCUAUGUUUAAACCAUGUGAUGGAACAUAUCAAGGACAUUGCUUCAUAAAUGCUGCAGAAAUUCUGAUGUUCAUCAUAUUAAUGAGUAACUGAAAACUGAAGAAAAGCUUCCACAUUCAGAAACUCAGUGUGUGAUAACUGAACGAUUGUAGUCAGUGCACCUUAAAUGUUUUAGGGAGUUCCUGCCGCAUACGUCUAGCGCAUCUAGUCUGCUGAAAUAUUAUUUCAAUUAUAUGCAGCUGUUUCAGUGUAUGCCAACCCCUACCCCCCACUCUCUCACACUCUCAUGUUUGUCUGUGAGAGAGAAUGAGAGAUUGGGAGUGGAGGACAAGUUGUUUGAAGUCUACAGUUCCACUCAGUACCUGAAGUUUUCACUUUUAUUGCACCUUCAUGAGCACCACUGAAAAUGUAGCAAUGAGUAGAUCCAGGGAGCAAAUGAAGCACUAUUGACAGUGAGUACUGAAGUGCCUACUGUAAUGAGUCAGUAUGUUGCUUUGACUGUGAAUUCUUGCAUUCACCAUUACUGUUCAAGUAAUCAAAAGAGUGGAAAUGUAAUGAUACAUAGUUAAUGUGCUGAAUAUAAUAAAAAUAGUUUUUUAUUAUGAUAAUAGAAUAAAUAUUAUUUUUAAUAGUUAAUUAUUUUGAAAAGAUAAUUUAUGUGGUUUUUAUAAAAUUUUAAAUUUAAGAUCUCAAGAGCAUGAGGCGAUCUUUGGAUUUGGAUUAGCAGAAAAUUUGUCAUGUAAAGCAACUACUGGAGUCAGUAAGAGUUACAUGUCUUAUGUUGUGACACACAAUCAGUCAUAUGAAUAGAUUAGCUGCUGAAGCACAGGAAUUGUGUUCUUUUUUUCCAGAGAAUUUCCAUCUCUCAAUGCCUAGCAAAGGAUAUAAUACAUAUUAUAGUAUUUAUUUAUCCUUGGCUGUUAUAACAGAGUGCUUGUGACUUGAGUUCUUUUUAUUCUUUGUUGUUCAAAUGAAAUUCUCCUAAAAUGGUGCUGCAUACAAUCAGAUUUAUGUUAAUCUGUCUAUGGUAUAUGUGAUAUCCUUAAAGUAAACUAGUGUGUGUGUGUGUGUGUGUGUGUGUGUGUGUGUGUGUGUGUGUGUGUGUGUGUGUGUGUUUUGCCACAACACUGUCAAAUUGCUUUCUGUAAACUAACUAAUAAUGUACUUUCCAAACCUCAUAUCAUUUAUGGAUUACAUGAAAUGAAAUGCUUCAUACGUAUUCAUGAUCGUCAUUCCUUUUGGGCACUUCUACGCUCAUGGAAAUGCAUGUCAACACAGCCAAGUUUUACAUUUGUGAUGUUUUCAGGUCUCCAUGCUUGUUACUGUUAACUUUCAGAUAUAUUUUUAGUAAGUCCAUACUUCAUCCAUUGCUGAAUUGGUUGUUUGAAGAGAGGUUGAUUAGUAUUUGUGUUUGGUAGUCAAAUGUUUGCUGUCGUACAUUUAAACCCAAAUUUUUGUUUAGCCGUAUCGUUUAUUGAUGGUGCACGUAAUUUACUUCAAUGCCAUUUAUAACAGUUUAGAUUUUUGCCUCAUACAGUUGUAAAUUGAACAAUAAUUUAAGAUGAUGAUGAUGAUGCAAACCAAGAUUUCUAGCAUUCAUAAAAUACUUAUCAAGUAAUAUGGACGCACCUGAUUACUCUUAGUUGCAGAAUAUCUACACAUUCCUUGUUUGGCUAAAUUUUCCAUUGCUGCUCUUCCUGUGGAUAAUAUUAUCCACUUACUCAUCCAUGCGUGACACAUUUGGGGCAGAUUAUGAAGUAUAUACCCAUUUUCAGUGAAACUGUUGUAAGUUAAGAAACAGUUUGAAAUUUUUUUGUGCUGUAGAAUAAAGGAGUCACCUCGUAUAUUGACAGUGCACAGUCACUUAUCUUAUUUCACUCAUUCAAAAUGUCAGUUCCUAUUAAACUGUGUCUUACGUCUUAUUUAAUACACAGCUUGUGCGUUCCUAAUGGCAACAAACUGUUGCCUUCUUAGAUAUCAUAUGAUGUAGACAAUAGCUGGAUAAACCUCACAUUCUAAAAGUACUACCCACUCUUAAAUUUGCUUCAAAUAUCAAGCAAGAUAAAAUCAGUUCCAUUUCUUCAUGUGACCGUCUUUUGAGCAUCAUGUUUCUGAGUUUCCAUGUAGAUAUCUUUUUGCUCGUUCGAAGAACUGAAUGAGUGAGUGUUGUAAGCUGUCAUAAAAUAUGUAAGCAAUCAAUUUUUCAAGUUCCUAAAAUUUAAUGGCUAAUAUUCAGUCACUGGCUAACUCUGUCGCACUGAAUAAUAAUUUUAUAUAAAUAACUCCUCCAUCCCUGUUGCAGCAGAAGUUGCACAGUACACCCCAAGAAUACUAUAUAGUUCUCCUAGAUGCAAGUGUUGUCUGCUGCAGCACUGUGUGUAUUCUGUAUGUACAAAUCUCUUCAUAACAUGGCAUAAGAAUUGAGUGUAAUACUUGGCUGUUAAUAUUGAGAAGCCGGGACAUGUUAGAUAUUGGUCAGCAUGUGCAAAUAGGUUUGUAUCAUAUUUUAGUCAUUUGGUAUGCAGUUUGGAGGACAACAUUUCACAUAACCGUCUGGCCAUACAGAUUUAGGCCUUCCACAGUUUCUGUAGCUCACUCCACUCGUUGUUCAUGCCUUCCCUAUCCUUUUGUAAUAUGAGUUUGUGCUCCAUCUCUAAUGACUGCACUGUUGGCAAUAUGUUAAACUCUUAAUCAUCAUCCUUCCUUCCUUCCUUCCAUCUACAGCCAUUUUGUGACUGCCACUAAGAUUAGCAACUCUUCAACUGUGGCACAUGGAUAGGCCCAUCACUGGACUGGAGAUCUGAAGACAUAUUAAGCAUUGAUUAUGUACAUUCAUGUCCUAUAAUUCAGUUUUAUAUAUUUAACAAAUGUGAAAACAGAAAACCAAGUGUCAGCAGAUCUUUAAAGAAGAGAUUUUGAGACACAUUUCUGUACAUUUAAUCCUAAAUUAGUUUUUGUAAAAAAUUUGCAAAUGUUCAUGCUCUAGUAGCAUUUGUUGCUUUUUAAGUAUUUUGUCUUAUAUGUGUAGUUAGCAAAAUUAUUUUUCAGUUUAGUAAUUGCAUGCAAUGUAGUUUCAAUUAACAUAAUAUAUGCCUUGUAAUAUGCCUUCUCUCAAUCAGAAAACAUGCCGCCAAAGAAUGAUGCACCUGUCAAAUAGUUAUUAUUGAACAGAGUGUAAGAGCAUUUUUUUUUUUUUUUUUUUUUUUUUUUUUUUUGCAACAGACAUAAUGUGAUGUUAAGUACCACUUUCAUGAGAGUGGUUAUAAAUGGCUGAGAUUCAUUGGGGAAUAGUUCUGGCAAUAGAUUUAGAACAUACUUAAUUUCUGAAAGCUGUAUAACAGAGCUAAUAAUUAAAAUUUAACAGAGACUAUGCAGUGAAACCUGCACUGAUCUCUGAUAAUGUUUAUGGUGCUAGGUCUGGCAGCUGAAUAAAAGUCAGUAAAGGUUAAAGUGUGAGAUAUUAUUUUAAACAGUUCUCUCCAUGUGUAAGAGUGUAGUUCACAUUCCAUUGCUAAAUAAAUUUUUUUUCAAAACUUGAUAUUUUUUCCUCUUAGCAUUUGAGAUAAAAUUGUUCUUUGCAUUCCAUGAUAUUGCAAUUUCAGUAUGCAUCCUUCUGUUUCACCACCACUCCCAUAUUUUUGGGUAAAAGAAAAAUAGAUAAUUUCAUUCUUUUUACAUCCAGUGUAUUAGUUCACAGUGUGUAAAUAUCACAUUUCUGUAGUCUUCGGCUAGUAUUUUUUCAGUUUUGGAGACCAGGCACAUAUGAAAAUUCGGAUUCUGUCCAUGUUAAAAACAUGAGUGGGAGGGCAUUUGAAUUUUUAUAUCUUUCCUACUGUUGUCAUUGUGUUGUUCCAUAAGCCCCCCCCCCUCCCCCAGCAGCUAAUCAGUUUUCAUUCUAAAUUUGUAAGAAGUAAAAACUUUCUUCUGAAGUUUGAUGGAGUUCUACCCAAACAAUUACAGAACACAUACAUUCAACCAUCCCCCAUAUAGUUAGAAGGGGGGAGGGGAGGGUGUAGGAGUUACUGAAUGACAAAACAUUAAGCUAAACCAGACAUACCUCACUGUGUAAAAACUAAUUUCUACCAUUGGGCUUUGCAUUACUUGAUUUAUAUUAUAGCCAUAAUGCAUGAAACAAGGCUUAGAUUGUUAGAAAUGCAAUGCAACAUUGUAGUCUUUGAUCAGAAAGUAGAGAAUACAAUGUAGAAUGUUUCCUCUGAAUUAUGAUUACACACACCAGGUAAUGUACUCUUUCAUUGAGAGAAAGGGUUGGGGAAUACAUUUUACUGUAGUAAACAUGGUUAAAAUCAGCUCACACAAACAGUUAUUAUUAAAUUGUGUGGUGUUCAGAACUUCUGAAUACUGUUACAAAAUUUGUUUGAAGGCAAAGUAUGGCUGGUAUUUGCACAUUAUAACUGAACCUAUAAAAGAAUAUUUUCAUAAAAGAAUCACAAAAAGUUGAAGAUAGACUAAAAAAUAAUUUAUUUCUUGAGCACAUUUUCCGUGAGAAAAUUUGCUCAAGACAAAUGCUAUAUUUUCUGAUACUCUGUUUUAGUGUGAAUGUCAGUAAUUCAAAGAGGUGCAUUUUAAUACAUUGGAGGCAGGUAAUUGAUAGUGUAAUUACAUUUAAUUUGAACAUGUAAAUUUAAGAGGAAAGCAUGUUAACAAUAAGUGUUUGUCUAUCCUAACAACAGUGAACAUGUCAGGUAAUUUAAAAGGUAAAGGCAACUAUUUCUUUUUCCUUUUGUGGCACUGUCAGCAGAAAUUAUUAAAACAUAACUAACCUUAUUUUGAAAUUUACUACUAAUCUUUUUAUGCAUAGAUAUGAUUAUAAUUUACUGCCAGUUUCAUUUGUGUUACUUUCAAAAAAAGUGUAAGUGAAAGAAUGGAACUGCUAAUUAAAACAUAAAUACAUUGUAUAGUACUGUUUUAAGUAAUAUUUACUUUGGAAAAAAGGUGGCCCACACUCACAUUCAGUUUUGUUUUCAAGUCGCAGAUCUCUUCCAUAGAUUGAGAAAAAUCAAAAAUAAAAAUAUUGUGCCUACAAUGAACUGUGUGUGUAAAUGUGUAUGUGUGUGUGACUGACAUGUCCACUUACUGUUAGUAAUGUUCGUAAAUGUUUUUAUAUAAAUAUGCAUGCAUUAUGAACUUUGACUUGCCUAAUGUAUAACAAUUUUCACUUUCUAGAAUGGGAAUGUCUUCAAGAACCCAUCAUACUAUUUUCUUGUUUAUGCAGUUGAAUUUGUACCUGUCAUAGUGAAAAAAUUUAAAAGCACAAGACAUUUUGCUGGUUCAGAAAAAGACUGUAUCUUUUAUUUUAGAAAAUAAGUGCAGGUGUGUCAGUUGUCUGGGUUAACGCUAGUAAAUGACUGAGAUAGUAUAGUCUGUGGGUAAUUUCACAGUAUAAUUUUUAAAGAUUACUCAUAUUUUCUGUAUAUGUUUCUACCACAAAACUUUAUCCUUGUCAGUGACAUUCCAAAUUUUACAUGAAUGGAAUGAAAUACUAUUGUAUCACUGACUAGAGGUGAGGUUUUUAAAAGUGGAUUUACCACAAAUUAUUGCAAAAGUAUUGGUUGGGUAGUACGUACAAACAAUUUUCAACAUGAGUUUGUGUACCACAUAGCCAAUAGAGUGAAAUUAACUUCAUUGCUAAAAGACUGAGACAUACUUUAUAAGAUUUUCAGUUUGGGGAACAUUUUUAUAUGGUGGUUGUUAAUUUUAAGAAAUUAUCAGUUUCCAUCAAAGGGAAGUUUUAUACUUUUUAAGUAUGUAAGCCUCUUCAGUCAGGUAAUGUUUCAACACACAGUACUUUUUAAAGCAACUGCUUUUGAACAGUGUUGAUUGUUACUAUCUGUUCAUUCUGAGUUGUGUGUUGAAUUUGAGACCAAUCCUUAUUUAUAAAAUGGAGUGUCGGGGUAAUCAAUUGUUGCUAAAGAGAGGUAACUGACUAUUGUACACUGGAGUCUUAAAAUAAUACAGUGCUACAAAAUAAUUAAUAUUGUAUCACUGUUCUAGUAUGAUGUAAUUUUUAUAUACAUUCAUUAAUUUAUGACUCCGUGUGCAUAAUUAUUGUUUGGUGUGAAAUGAGAUGUUAAGUACAAAUCAGUUUUUAUUUUUGUAGUGUAGUUAAUGCUUUGUAAAUUAUUAAGCAUAUUUAGGAAUUUUUACUGUCUCAUUGAUUCAAAUGUAUUCAGAAGAGAGUUUCUCUAGUCUUCAUAUUCCAGUUAUUCCAUUUUUAACAAAGCGAAAUAAGAACCCAGACAGCUGAUGGCAUGUGUGGAAAAAAAGGGAAACAAUUUUUUUUAAAAAAAUUCUGUGGUUAACAAUGUUUCAUUUUUAUGUCAAAAAUUGUUCAAUGUUCACAUGUAUUGAUGGAAAAUGAGUUUGAAAUAUAAGUAACAUUGAAAUGAA